rnacentral:tRNA from 1 species
GCCUGGGUGGCUCAGUCGGUUAAGCGUCCGACUUCGGCUCAGGUCAUGAUCUCACAGUCCGUGGGUUCGAGCCCCGCAUCGGGCU